GCCAACAUAGCACAGUGGUUAGUGCAUCUGUUUCGUAAACAGAAGGUCGCGAGUUCGAAUCUCGUUGUUGGCU
rnacentral:tRNA from 1 species